rnacentral:rRNA from 1 species
UACGUAGGGGGCAAGCGUUGUCCGGAAUUAUUGGGCGUAAAGAGCGCGUAGGCGGUCCGGUAAGUCAGCUGUGAAAGUCAAGGGCUCAACCCUUGAAAGCCGGCUGAUACUGCCGGACUAGAGUCCGGAAGAGGCGAGUGGAAUUCCCGGUGUAGCGGUGAAAUGCGCAGAUAUCGGGAGGAACACCAAUGGCGAAGGCAGCUCGCUGGGACGGUACUGACGCUGAGACGCGAAAGCGUGGGGAGCGAACAGG